rnacentral:rRNA from 1 species
UUCCGGUUGAUCCUGCCGGACCUGACUGCUAUCGGAUUGAUACUAAGCCAUGCGAGUCAUUGUAGCAAUACAAGGCAUACGGCUCAGUAACGCGUAGUCAACCUAACCUAUGGACGGGAAUAACCUCGGGAAACUGAGAAUAAUGCCCGAUAGAACAUUAUACCUGGAAUGGUUUAUGUUCCAAAUGAUUUAUCGCCGUAGGAUGGGACUGCGGCCUAUCAGUUUGUUGGUGAGGUAAUGGCCCACCAAGACUAUUACAGGUACGGGCUCUGAGAGGAGUAGCCCGGAGAUGGGUACUGAGACACGGACCCAGGCCCUAUGGGGCGCAGCAGGCGAGAAAACUUUGCAAUGUGCGAAAGCACGACAAGGUUAAUCCGAGUGAUUUCUGCUAAAGAAAUCUUUUGUUAGUCCUAGAAACACUAACGAAUAAGGGGUGGGCAAGUUCUGGUGUCAGCCGCCGCGGUAAAACCAGCACCUCAAGUGGUCAGGAUGAUUAUUGGGCCUAAAGCAUCCGUAGCCGGCUCUGUAAGUUUUCGGUUAAAUCUGUACGCUUAACGUACAGGCUGCCGGGAAUACUGCAUAGCUAGGGAGUGGGAGAAGUAGACGGUACUCGAUAGGAAGUGGUAAAAUGCUUUGAUCUAUCGAUGACCACCUGUGGCGAAGGCGGUCUACUAGAACACGUCCGACGGUGAGGGAUGAAAGCUGGGGGAGCAAACCGGAUUAGAUACCCGGGUAGUCCCAGCUGUAAACUAUGCAAACUCAGUGAUGCAUUGGCUUGUGGCCAAUGCAGUGCUGCAGGGAAGCCGUUAAGUUUGCCGCCUGGGAAGUACGUACGCAAGUAUGAAACUUAAAGGAAUUGGCGGGGGAGCACCACAAGGGGUGAAGCCUGCGGUUCAAUUGGAUUCAACGCCGGA